UUAAGUUCAGCGGGUAAUCCUACCUGAUUUGAGAUCGAACGUUCAGAAAGCCGUCCUCACCGAGGAGGGACGUCUAUAUGAAGCUCCAGCGAACCUCCAUCACUGAAGGUUACACCCUGGCGGAUGACCACAAGCGCAGAUAGUUAUCACGCCCGUGAUGCCACCAAAUGCUGGCAAGCUGAUCCAUUUGAGAGGAGCCG
rnacentral:misc_RNA from 1 species